rnacentral:rRNA from 1 species
GUCGAACGCUGGCGGCGUGCUUAACACAUGCAAGUCGAACGAGCGGCGAACGGGUGAGUACUGUCUGGGAAACUGCCCGAUGGAGGGGGAUAACUACUGGAAACGGUAGCUAAUACCGCAUACCAUCGGAUGUGCCCAGAUGGGAUUAGCUAGUAGGUGGGGAAACGGCUCACCUCGGCGACGAUACCUAGCUGGUCUGAGAGGAUGACCCGCCACACGUGGACUGAGACACGGCCCAAACUCCUACGUGAGGCAGCAGUGGGGAAUAUUGCACAAUGGGCGCAAGCCUGAUGCAGCCAUGCCGCGUGUAUGAAGAAGGCCUUAGGGUUGUAAAGUACUUUCAGCGGGGAGGCGUUACCCGCAGAAGAAGCACCGGCUAACUCCGUGCCAGCAGCCGCGGUAAUUC